rnacentral:lncRNA from 1 species
UUAAAAUGAUAUACAUACACUCCAUUUAAAGAAUGUCCAAUAGUUUAGUUUUGAAGCUAAGAAAUACAUGUUUAAUUGAACUGAAUACACUUUACUUUCCAGAUGGAGAAAUUAAUUAUUCUACUGCUCUGGUUACAAUAUGUUGUUAAGAUCUCCAAAAAUUUCCAUUAUAUACCAGUGAAUAAACAAACAACAGAAGUUUUAAUCGAAUGGGAUGAAUUUCCUAAGGGAGGAAAUCCUGAAUUUUAUUUUUUUAAAUAUCAACGUGUUAAUGAUUUUGCUCGAAAAGAUGUAAAAAGUAUUCUCACAGACUCACAAAGACAUCAGAAAUUAAUAAUAACACUAAAGGAAAAUGAAGAUUAUCACAUCAUUUUACAGUCCAUGAGAUAUGGACAAAUUUUAAGUGAAAAGUCAUUUCAAAUUCGUAAGUAAUGUAUAUGUUGAUCAGCUAUGUCAACUUUCAUUACCAGAUAAUUUAAAUUUUACAAUGAUUAACAGGUAUAUAAUGGUACUGUAAAAUUAUAAUAGUAUUAUUUUUUUAUAUAACGCAAAUCUCAGAAUUUAAAGAAAAUUAUAAACUAAGGUAAGAAUAUAGUUUUCAGUUUUGACAUUUUGUGUGUACUUGUAUGAAUGGAUAGGUAGAGUGGAGAUUUUAAGUGUUAUCCAGAUUAUGUAAAAAAUAUAAUGUGGUUCUGUAAUCUAAUUCAUUCAUUCUAUGUAGAAUAGAAGAAACUCCCACAUAGUCUAGA